UGGGUAUUUACAAAAAGGAAUUCAAUUCACUC
rnacentral:piRNA from 1 species